rnacentral:rRNA from 1 species
UAGGGAAUCUUCCGCAAUGGACGAAAGUCUGACGGAGCAACGCCGCGUGAGUGAAGAAGGCUUUCGGGUCGUAAAGCUCUGUUGCCAGGGAAGAACACUUGAGAGAGUAACUGCUCUUGAGUUGACGGUACCUGAGAAGAAAGCCCCGGCUAACUACGUGCCAGCAGCCGCGGUAAUACGUAGGGGGCAAGCGUUGUCCGGAAUUAUUGGGCGUAAAGCGCGCGCAGGCGGCUUUGUAAGUCUGUCGUUUAAGUUCGGGGCUCAACCCCGUAUCGCGAUGGAAACUGCAAGGCUUGAGUACAGAAGAGGAAAGUGGAAUUCCACGUGUAGCGGUGAAAUGCGUAGAGAUGUGGAGGAACACCAGUGGCGAAGGCGACUUUCUGGGCUGUAACUGACGCUGAGGCGCGAAAGCGUGGGGAGCAAACA